rnacentral:rRNA from 1 species
GCUAAUGCGGCAGCUACCAUGCAGUCGAACGAUGAUGCCCAGCUUGCUGGGCGGAUUAGUGGCGAACGGGUGAGUAAUACGUGAGUAACCUGCCCUUGACUCUGGGAUAAGCCUGGGAAACUGGGUCUAAUACUGGAUACUACCUCUUACCGCAUGGUGGGUGGUGGAAAGGGUUUUACUGGUUUUGGAUGGGCUCACGGCCUAUCAGCUUGUUGGUGGGGUAAUGGCUCACCAAGGCGACGACGGGUAGCCGGCCUGAGAGGGUGACCGGCCACACUGGGACUGAGACACGGCCCAGACUCCUACGGGAGGCAGCAGUGGGGAAUAUUGCACAAUGGGCGGAAGCCUGAUGCAGCGACGCCGCGUGAGGGAUGACGGCCUUCGGGUUGUAAACCUCUUUCAGUAGGGAAGAAGCGAGAGUGACGGUACCUGCAGAAGAAGCGCCGGCUAACUACGUGCCAGCAGCCGCGGUAAUACGUAGGGCGCAAGCGUUGUCCGGAAUUAUUGGGCGUAAAGAGCUCGUAGGCGGUUUGUCGCGUCUGCUGUGAAAGCCCGGGGCUCAACCCCGGGUCUGCAGUGGGUACGGGCAGACUAGAGUGCAGUAGGGGAGACUGGAAUUCCUGGUGUAGCGGUGAAAUGCGCAGAUAUCAGGAGGAACACCGAUGGCGAAGGCAGGUCUCUGGGCUGUUACUGACGCUGAGGAGCGAAAGCAUGGGGAGCGAACAGGAUUAGAUACCCUGGUAGUCCAUGCCGUAAACGUUGGGCACUAGGUGUGGGGGACAUUCCACGUUUUCCGCGCCGUAGCUAACGCAUUAAGUGCCCCGCCUGGGGAGUACGGCCGCAAGGCUAAAACUCAAAGGAAUUGACGGGGGCCCGCACAAGCGGCGGAGCAUGCGGAUUAAUUCGAUGCAACGCGAAGAACCUUACCAAGGCUUGACAUUCACCGGACCGCCCCAGAGAUGGGGUUUCCCUUCGGGGCUGGUGGACAGGUGGUGCAUGGUUGUCGUCAGCUCGUGUCGUGAGAUGUUGGGUUAAGUCCCGCAACGAGCGCAACCCUCGUUCUAUGUUGCCAGCACGUGAUGGUGGGGACUCAUAGGAGACUGCCGGGGUCAACUCGGAGGAAGGUGGGGAUGACGUCAAAUCAUCAUGCCCCUUAUGUCUUGGGCUUCACGCAUGCUACAAUGGCCGGUACAAAGGGUUGCGAUACUGUGAGGUGGAGCUAAUCCCAAAAAGCCGGUCUCAGUUCGGAUUGAGGUCUGCAACUCGACCUCAUGAAGUCGGAGUCGCUAGUAAUCGCAGAUCAGCAACGCUGCGGUGAAUACGUUCCCGGGCCUUGUACACACCGCCCGUCAAGUCACGAAAGUUGGUAACACCCGAAGCCGGUGGCCUAACCCCUUGUGGGAGGGAGCCGUCGAAGUGACUUAUUC